UACGUAGGGUGCGAGCGUUGUCCGGAAUUAUUGGGCGUAAAGGGCUCGUAGGCGGUUUGUCGCGUCGGGAGUGAAAACCUUGGGCUUAACUCAGGGCUUGCUUUCGAUACGGGCAGACUAGAGGUAUGCAGGGGAGAACGGAAUUCCUGGUGUAGCGGUGAAAUGCGCAGAUAUCAGGAGGAACACCGGUGGCGAAGGCGGGUCUCUGGGCCGUAACUGACGCUGAGGAGCGAAAGCAUGGGGAGCGAACAGG
rnacentral:rRNA from 1 species